rnacentral:tRNA from 1 species
GGGGAGGAUUCUUAUGUUGGUCUAAGAGAUGAGUUGUAGCCUCAUUAGGGUAACCUAUCGUAGGUUCGAUUCCUACCCUCCUCA